GACAAAUACAGAGGCCAAUG
rnacentral:piRNA from 1 species